UAUUAUCCUCUGGAGUUGAGCAAG
rnacentral:misc_RNA from 1 species